UAAAUAGUUAGGCCAACCUUGGUUGGUCGCCAACUUCUUAGAGGGACUAUUGACGACUAGUCAAUGGAAGUUUGAGGCAAUAACAGGUCUGUGAUGCCCUUAGAUGUUCUG
rnacentral:rRNA from 1 species